UGUGCACAACUGAGGAAGAGGAGGAGGAAGGCCAUGUUACUGCACACAUCAAACACGCGGCGGAUCUGUUUGGUGACCUCAGUUUCUAGGAGCCUACAAUG